rnacentral:rRNA from 1 species
AUUGAACGCUGGCGGCAUGCUUUACACAUGCAAGUCGAACGGUAACAGGCCGCUAGGUGCUGACGAGUGGCGAACGGGUGAGUAAUGCAUCGGAACGUGCCCAGCCGUGGGGGAUAACUACUCGAAAGAGUAGCUAAUACCGCAUACGAUCUAUGGAUGAAAGCGGGGGACCGUAAGGCCUCGCGCGAUUGGAGCGGCCGAUGUCAGAGUAGGUAGUUGGUGGGGUAAAGGCUCACCAAGCCAACGAUCUGUAGCUGGUCUGAGAGGACGACCAGCCACACUGGGAGUGAGACACGGCCCAGACUCCUACGGGAGGCAGCAGUGGGGAAUUUUGGACAAUGGGCGCAAGCCUGAUCCAGCAAUGCCGCGUGCAGGAAGAAGGCCUUCGGGUUGUAAACUGCUUUUGUACGGAACGAAACGGCUCUGGUUAAUACCCGGGGCUAAUGACGGUACCGGAAGAAUAAGCACCGGCUAACUACGUG